UACGGGGGGUGCGAGCGUUGUUCGGAAUUAUUGGGCGUAAAGCGCGUGUAGGCGGUUUGUUAAGUCUGUUGAAAGCCCCGGGCUCAACCCGGGAAGUGCACUGGAUACUGGCAGACUUGAAUACGGGAGAGGGUAGUGGAAUUCCUGGUGUAGGAGUGAAAUCCGUAGAUAUCAGGAGGAACACCGGUGGCGAAGGCGGCUGCCUGGACCGAUAUUGACGCUGAGACGCGAAAGCGUGGGUAGCA
rnacentral:rRNA from 1 species